UGACGGGAUUUUUUCCCUUACAUACCAAAAGUACGUUAUGAGCAUCGGAUUGAAUCAAUGGUUGUUGACUAGUCUGGCGCUCUUCUUCUAUCAAACUAUAGAUAGGAAGGGUUUUUCCUUUAUCUUCUCACCAACUAGUCUCCCACGUCUUUUCAUUUUGAUGGUGUGACCUCGCGCAAAGCUUGGAUGGUUUUCUCUGGACCGGAGCACUAGAAAUACUAGUUUUAUCUUCUCCACGGCAACACAUGCACGUGAAUGAUGCCUUGGCACUUGGUGGCCGUGAGCUCCAUCCCUCUUUUUCUUUUGAUGAGCCCGCUGCUAGUGGAGCAGGUCUCUCCUUUUUUGCUUCUGUUUCCCAGUCAAUAGGUGUGUUUCCUCCCGGACGAACGACGGAGUAUAGCAAUUACACCGAGCAAACUCGUUUGCUCCUCUAGGCUACGGUGAGAUUAUUCUCGAUGAGGUAGUUUACAGCAAAUUGGUUUUCAGACUUUAGUCGGAUUCGUUGAUGAAGGAGAGGCGACAGCGGCAAGGCCCAAGGCCUCGGCAGUAAGGUGUGGCGACGAUUUACGGGCACGCAGGAGGAACGUGCGGCGGGCUAGGGAUUCCAACAUCGGCAACAGGUGUGCGGCCGUGGCGCGCAUUGAGGCAGGUGGCGGAGCGAGGCGCACGGUGGCGGACACGGCAGGCGCAGCGUCGCGCAGCAGCGAGAGCUGCGGCUGAAGGUGGAGGUGCGGCGGGUUGGAGCAUGCGGAGAUGAAGGCGAAGGCAUGGCGCGACCGAUGCAGCCGGGCGAGUUGAAGCGAAAACUGCAGUUGUGGAGAAGACCAGCAGGGGAGGAGACGGCAAGACGGCCGGCGGCUUGACGGGUGUGUUUGAGCGCAGACUGCGCGGGGCAGGUGAGCGGAUGGCCGGAGCUCAUCGCAAUACAGUGGGUGGAGUCGACCGUAAGAGCGGCGGCUCAAGGAUAUUGUGGCUCGGGGUCGGCUUAAUACAGGGCGACACCGUCCCAGAUCGAGAUGAACUCGGAGCGAGGCGGAGGCGCGUCACCAGCAUGGUAGGGCAGCUUGCGACGAAGCCAGCAGCAGUUGCGACGAGACCGAGUCUGCCUCUGAACUGUGGUCUUUCUUCCAAUAGCUUCAUGUACGCGAUGUUUGAUACUGGACGCUGUUUUUGCUUUUAAUUUGAUAUGAGGGAACAGUCCCCUUAUCUUGUCUGGACGCUGUAGUUCUUUGUAGCUUUGGGAUUUGAUAGUUCAA